ACAGCAUUCACCCUAAUGCUCUCGAAUAUACAUCUUUCGGGAAGCCAAAUCCUUCUGUAUUCAGGAAUGCUGAAACUGUACUGAUGGAAACCGUGCCUUCUUCAUAUCAGUCAGCAAAUAUGUAACUGGUGGAAAUCAUGUUUUUAGAACCCUGUACAUUAUAGGAGAUAAUCCUUCAGUUGACAUCAAAGGUGCAAAGCAGGCUGGACAUCCUUGGUUUUCCAUUCUGACAAGGACCGGGGUUUUUAAGGGAAAGGAAAAUCAUGCUGAGCAUCCAGCGGAUCUGGUUGUUGACACUGUUGAAGAGGCAGUGGACUAUAUCUUCAGAAAGGAGGGCAUGUAAAUUUACUCUUUUCUUUUUCUUUUUUCCUUUUUUGCUACUCUUGGUCACACAGGAGUUGGAGGAGUUAAUUA